CAACCCUCCACAUGCAGCCUCAUGAGUGCUGAAAGCAGAAGGCAGCUUCUUUCUGGGACCUGCUUGCUGGCUCUGAUGGUUAUUGCCACCGCAAAUUCACACAGCUGACUUCUGUUAAGCUGCACACAGUACCUUCUCCAGCUGUGCAGUUGUAAUUCAGCAGUGUCAUGAGUUGUCAUUUCUGCAUUAGUAAACAGGGUCUUAUACUGUUUCGCUACACUCACUUGGAACUUUUAAGUAACCACGUAACAGCUGGAAGAGAGGAGCGCUACCAUCCUACUCAGGCGUACACUAUGUUAUAGAUACUUUACUGAAAGCAUGUAUGCUACAACAAAUCUUUUGGUUAUGUGGAGGCCUGCAAAAGAAAAACGGAAGAACAGCUAAGCUUGCACGUCAGUGCUGAAUGAUUGAGCCCUUCAAAAGAGUCUGGCCCCAUAGCUGGGUUUUGCUGCUCUACGCUGCCCCACUGCUGAGCCCACUGUGGCUCCAGGGCAAAGAUGACUGCCAGCAAUUCUGGCUGCUUGCUGGAUGCCUCUAUAAAACUCUUUUGAAACCUCAAGUUUUGGUAUGUAUCCCUGAAUUCUUUGACCCUGAAGAAGCAGAGGGCUCUAUACAAAGCUACUUUGUGCAUUCUCCACCCCAUGCAAAGAAGACAAAUUGGUCACCUAGGAAGCGCGUGUUGAAAGGCAGAGAUUGACAUUAUGAAUUUGGAAUCCCCAUUAACAGCUUAUUUCUGUACUGACUUCUGCCACCUUUCUCCCCUUGGGUAACACCAACUAAGCCUGGACGUCAGAGUAGAUACAAGGCUGGCCUUUGCCUCCACGGAGGGACCAUUCACAGGACACAAAAUGGUCCUUUAGGUGAAAUCAGAAGGCUUGCAAGGUUUGGCUACAAACCUUGCAAGCCUUCAGAUAAAUGUAGUUCAAACAUUUUGAGAAAGGAGGCAACAUAUCUCAGCAAAUGGAUUUUUGUCCCCCUGGCAACUCCGAAUUCCUAUUUACUGUGGUUUAGGUUAAAAUGAGUGAGUGUUCUAGCAGGUUUCCUGUUUAUUAGAAGUUCCUCUGGUUUAAUUCCUCUUUUAUGAACAUCAAUUUGUAGAUACUUUCAAUCAAUCUGUACAAAUGCAGGAAAAUGUUUUUCAAGUACCCACUCUACCAGCUUUUCCUAGAAAAAGCUCUGUGUACCCUGCUUUCAUUUGCACUCUCCUAGCUCUGAAAACAGGAAGCCAUGUAAUUAAUGACUCAGGUGAAGACACUUGUUUGCUCAGUCUGAGAGAAUAUCUGUGUGCGGAUGAAUUAGAGAGCUCUGAAGCUGAAGGGAAAUUAAAAACAGAUGCCAAGCACACCUUCACCUGAACUGUUGUGCUGUAAUUAUAAUGGUUUUCAGCCAAUUUUUACCAGCAUUAUGAAUUAAAAUUGUUUAUGUUUCUCAGAGCUUUUACUAUGGAAGUUAAUAUAGCUCCUUAUAGGUAUUAGAAGUGAAUGUGAAAGUCCUAUAUGACAUCUUAUGCAGGAAAAAAAAAGUUAAAUAGAGUUCCUAAGAUCUGUCUU